CUGACCUCGGUUCAGACGUGAUUACCCGCUGAACUUAAGCAUAUCACUAAGCGGAGGAA
rnacentral:rRNA from 1 species